UUUUGUUUUCGAUUAAUUAGGGUUUCAAUUUUGCUUUACUUAUUUCAAUUUCGUGUAAUUUUCGAUUAACCAGAAGGAGGCGGCAUCGGUCGAUUAAUUAGGGUUUCAAAACCCUCACGUUGAUUAUUUUUGGGUGAAGUUUUUACUGAGGCAAUGGCUUCUUCAUCAGGACUGGAAUUCCAAUUGCACUCUUUUGGUUUGUGCAUUUCGGAAUAGGCCAAAGUUCCGGCAAGUUGAAGCAGAUGGUGGAACAAUUGUUUCAAAGGUUUUCACCUUUAUCUUGGUUUUAGAAAUCUGAUUUGCAGCCUUCAGAUCAUCAAAACAAGUAAGAUGUGGGUGUUUCAUCUACGCAACGAUGUGAAACAGAGGAUCAGGUUAUCGAUCGAUUAGGGUUUGAGGGUUUGAUGGAUUUUGUCAAGGUUUUGGAGGGAAAGAUUAAUUUGGUGGAUCAGAGAAUUAAUCAGAUGCGAUUAAAUUGUAAUAAUAAUAACAAUUCUCUUGGUUUUAGUCAUAAGAUUAUGUUGGAUUGUUUUAAGGGUCCUGAUCCUGAUAUGGGUUUUGUUGGUUGGAAGGAGUAAUCAGGUGUGGUUGGAUUCACCAUAUGAUUGUCAUUAUCAAUCUAACGGUAUGAUUAACGAUAUUACGGGUUUAAAUGGUGUUGAGGCUCAAAUUUUUGCGAGAAAGAUGGAUUUGAUUGAUGAAAGGAAUAAUCAGAUGGAUUUGAUUGAUGGUUUUCUCAAGGUAAAGUUUCAAUAUUUUUAUUGAUUAUUGUUGUCUUUAUUUUAAGGUUGUUUUUGUUACCAAAGAUUUGGACUUUAGGAUAUGUAGCUAAGACAUUGAUACAUGUUUAAAUCUACAGUUUGGUCCAAAUUACCAGAGGCCGUAGCAUAUUUUUAAAUGAUAAACAGUAAAGUCUAAU